rnacentral:rRNA from 1 species
CUGGCGGCAGGCCUAACACAUGCAAGUCGAACGGUAACAGGAAGCAGCUUGCUGCUUCGCUGACGAGUGGCGGACGGGUGAGUAAUGUCUGGGAAGCUGCCUGAUGGAGGGGGAUAACUACUGGAAACGGUAGCUAAUACCGCAUAAUGUCGCAAGACCAAAGAGGGGGACCUUCGGGCCUCUUGCCAUCGGAUGUGCCCAGAUGGGAUUAGCUUGUUGGUGGGGUAACGGCUCACCAAGGCGACGAUCCCUAGCUGGUCUGAGAGGAUGACCAGCCACACUGGAACUGAGACACGGUCCAGACUCCUACGGGAGGCAGCAGUGGGGAAUAUUGCACAAUGGGCGCAAGCCUGAUGCAGCCAUGCCGCGUGUAUGAAGAAGGCCUUCGGGUUGUAAAGUACUUUCAGCGGGGAGGAAGGGAGUAAAGUUAAUACCUUUGCUCAUUGACGUUACCCGCAGAAGAAGCGCCGGCUAACUCCGUGCCAGCAGCCGCGGUAAUACGGAGGGUGCAAGCGUUAAUCGGAAUUACUGGGCGUAAAGCGCACGCAGGCGGUUUGUUAAGUCAGAUGUGAAAUCCCCGGGCUCAACCUGGGAACUGCAUCUGAUACUGGCAAGCUUGAGUCUCGUAGAGGGGGGUAGAAUUCCAGGUGUAGCGGUGAAAUGCGUAGAGAUCUGGAGGAAUACCGGUGGCGAAGGCGGCCCCCUGGACGAAGACUGACGCUCAGGUGCGAAAGCGUGGGGAGCAAACAGGAUUAGAUACCCUGGUAGUCCACGCCGUAAACGAUGUCGACUUGGAGGUUGUGCCCUUGAGGCGUGGCUUCCGGAGCUAACGCGUUAAGUCGACCGCCUGGGGAGUACGGCCGCAAGGUUAAAACUCAAAUGAAUUGACGGGGGCCCGCACAAGCGGUGGAGCAUGUGGUUUAAUUCGAUGCAACGCGAAGAACCUUACCUGGUCUUGACAUCCACGGAAGUUUUCAGAGAUGAGAAUGUGCCUUCGGGAACCGUGAGACAGGUGCUGCAUGGCUGUCGUCAGCUCGUGUUGUGAAAUGUUGGGUUAAGUCCCGCAACGAGCGCAACCCUUAUCCUUUGUUGCCAGCGGUCCGGCCGGGAACUCAAAGGAGACUGCCAGUGAUAAACUGGAGGAAGGUGGGGAUGACGUCAAGUCAUCAUGGCCCUUACGACCAGGGCUACACACGUGCUACAAUGGCGCAUACAAAGAGAAGCGACCUCGCGAGAGCAAGCGGACCUCAUAAAGUGCGUCGUAGUCCGGAUUGGAGUCUGCAACUCGACUCCAUGAAGUCGGAAUCGCUAGUAAUCGUGGAUCAGAAUGCCACGGUGAAUACGUUCCCGGGCCUUGUACACACCGCCCGUCACACCAUGGGAGUGGGUUGCAAAAGAAGUAGGUAGCUUAACCUUCGGGAGGGCGCUUACCACUUUGUGAUUCAUGACUGGGGUGAAGUCGUAACAAGGUA